ensembl:lncRNA
CAAAGCCCACGCUCUAACUGACUUUUCCAGUGUACUGAUGCACAGAAAUUGUGGGGCAGAUCGGCUCAUCCAUGAACUGAAUACAAUCAUCUUGCUUAUUUUUCAUAGAUCUUCAGCUGGCUGGCCUAAUGUUAUUGAAAAAGAGCAUGUUGUCUUCGGUGACAAGCAUGUGACUGGUAAAGGAAGCAGGGAAGUGGCAUGGAGAGCACAACUCAGAGUUUCCCACCACUUUGCAAAAGAAGGCUCUGAAGACACAGCCUUCGUGAGCGCCUUCAGAGGUGCUCUGCUCCCAGCUGUCUGUCGGCUUGAGCCGCCGGAGGAAGACACGACAAUUGAAGUGACUCCCUGAUUGCAUUGGAUAAGGUACAUUGCUGAAGUGACAGAAACCAAGUUGUCGCAAUGAAUCCCCCAAAGCAAGAUAGAUGUGCUUGCCAUAAUAGCCAUCAGGCAUGGUGUGGUUGGUCAUCACGGUGCUCUGGUCUGGUCUGCAAGGUCCAUCCAUGGUGGUGGCUGCGUCACCUGAGAUUCUGAGGGUGAAAAUAGACGGUGAGCCCAUUAAGGUCCUACUUGAUUUGUAUAUCUGAGCAAGGACAGGUCAGGUGAGCAGAGCUCUGGCAUGGACAUAAUCAUAAUGGCGACCCUUCCUUUGAUUCCACACUCAGGGUCCUUUGUUUGAAGGAGAAGCCAGGAGUGCAUACAAAAAGCUGUGCAAUAGCAACCCAAUAAUAUUUUUUGAAUCUCCUGAUUAGCAUUCCUCAGAGGACUCUAUGGUUAUCUCAAGAAUACCCAGAAAGACGAAAAGAGAAAUACCUCGAUUUUUAUGGUCAAAAUAUCUUUAAGUUUUAACCUGUCUAACCCUUAUUCCUUGUAGACUAGUCUCCUGCAGAUCUCUCUGGAUAUUGCUCUAGUCACGUUUUCCCAGAAAUUAAGGCUGUAAGUACUGAGAAAGUAGACUCAGGCUACAACUUCUAGUCUCCAGGCCCCUGAUCAUACCAGGGUGGGAACUUGGACGCCAAUACUCUGCUUUGUUAUAUUACCAUAACUAUAAGGCUUGAACAUCAGUCUUUGAUUAUGCCAGGGUUGAGGCUGGUACUUCUCUAAUCAUGGAGCUUAAGAGUCUCAGAGUCUGAAAUCAUUUCUUAAUAUUGUUUGUUGGGUCCUGUAAGAUCUAUCUGUGCUGUUCCAGAAUUCAGAGGGCCACAGAAGAUCAUACACUUGCUGUUGCUUUUUCCCUGGGGUUUGUCCAGUGAAUGCUGUCUCUGAAGCCUUACUGUACAUAGUCUUAGAUCCUUCUCCCUUCAUAUAUAGUUGGGUGCUUAACCCACUGAGCCACCCAGGCAACUUUAUAAACUACCAUGAAUAACAAGAAUUGACUGAAGGUGUUUCCAUUGACGGAUAGAAUCCACAUUGUUUCCUUGGCCUGUUAUAAUUCCUCAUGUGAAAUUGGAUGAUAAUACCACGUACCUCUCAGGUUGUUUUGAGGUUAGAUGAAUUAAUAUAGGUAAAUUUCUUAAUUUAUGGAUAGUAGUAUGGAUAGUGUAUGGAUAGUACCAAAAGUCAUGGAAGUUUUGCUAUUAUUAUUGUUAAGAACAGCCAAGUGGAAGCUUCUGGGGUUUCCCCCACCCACAAUGGGAAUAAAUCA